rnacentral:misc_RNA from 1 species
GAUGAAGAACGCAGCGAAAUGCGAUAAGUAGUGUGAAUUGCAGAAUUCAGUGAAUCAUCGAAUCUUUGAACGCACAUUGCGCCUCCUGGUAUUCCGGGAGGCAUGCCUGUUCGAGCGUCAUUAAAAUCACUCAAGCUUAGGUUUACCUAUUGCUUGGUCUUGGAGAUGGAAGCCAAUUCAUUGAAUCCUCUUCGAAAUCCAAUGGCGAAGACCCUUGCUCUCCCAAGUGUAGUAAUAACUUAUGUCACUGAAGGAAGCGAGAAAUCUUCCGCCGUAACCCCCAUAUUUUCUAUGAUUGACCUCGGAUCAGGUAGGGAUACCCGCUGAACUUAAGCAUAUCAAUAAGCUGAGGA